AAAUAAAAUCAGAAAAAUCACGGAGCGUUGAAUCUGACUUCAUUAAUUGAUGUGGUAGGUCCAACAAUCACAAGGCAGAGGUGAAGAUGCGACUAUCCUAGAGCAUAAAGUAAGAGUUAGAUAGCAAAUAUCUAACUAAGAGAUAGUAAGCUUUAUGAAAUAAGUAGAAUAAGAAUCACCUCCUUUUGACUAAGUCUUAAUCAAGCCAGAUAAGCAAAGAUCCUAGUUCUAAGUCCACAACUCCAG
rnacentral:lncRNA from 1 species